rnacentral:rRNA from 1 species
AACAAUACGGGGCUUAAAGUCUUGUAAUUGGAAUGAUGGGAAUUUAAACCUCUUCCAGAGUAUCAAUUGGAGGGCAAGUCUGGUGCCAGCAGCCGCGGUAAUUCCAGCUCCAAUAGCGUAUAUUAAAAUUGUUGCAGUUAAAAAGCUCGUAGUUGAAUUUCUGCUGCAUUGCUUGUGUCCCUCUGGGGUCUGUGCAUGUGGCUUUUUUCGGACGGAGUUUCUUUGUCUGAAUGUUUACUUUGAGAAAAUUAGAGUGCUCAAAGCAGGCUUUCGCCUUGAAUAGUUUAGCAUGGAAUAAUAAAGUAGGACUUUGGUUCUAUUUUGUUGGUUUUAGGUACCAAAGUAAUGGUUAAUAGGAACAGUUGGGGGCAUUCGUAUUUAACUGUCAGAGG